UAGCUUGCUUUGAGCUUGGAGUAGCUUGCUUGGAGUAGCUUGCUUGGAGCUUGGAGUAGCUUGCUUGGAGGUUGGAGUAGCUUGUUUGGAGCUUGGAGUAGCUCUUGUGAGUUCGCGCGGGUA